rnacentral:rRNA from 1 species
AUUGAACGCUGGCGGCAUGCUUUACACAUGCAAGUCGAACGGACUUAGGUGCUUGCACCUAGGUUAGUGGCGAACGGGUGAGUAAUGCAUCGGAACGUACCGUGUAAUGGGGGAUAACGUAGCGAAAGUUGUGCUAAUACCGCAUACGAUCUACGGAUGAAAGCAGGGGAUCGCAAGACCUUGCGUUAUACGAGCGGCCGAUGUCGGAUUAGCUAGUUGGUAGGGUAAAGGCCUACCAAGGCAACGAUCCGUAGCGGGUCUGAGAGGAUGAUCCGCCACACUGGGACUGAGACACGGCCCAGACUCCUACGGGAGGCAGCAGUGGGGAAUUUUGGACAAUGGGCGCAAGCCUGAUCCAGCCAUGCCGCGUGAGUGAAGAAGGCCU